rnacentral:tRNA from 1 species
GGGGCUGUGGCUCAGAGGUAGAGUGCUCGCCUACCAUGUGUGGGGCACUGGGUUUGAUCCCCAGCACCACA